rnacentral:rRNA from 1 species
UGGGGAAUCUUGGACAAUGGGCGCAAGCCUGAUCCAGCCAUGCCGCGUGAGUGACGAAGGUCUUCGGAUUGUAAAGCUCUUUUGGCGGGGACGAUAAUGACGGUACCCGCAGAAUAAGCCCCGGCUAACUUCGUGCCAGCAGCCGCGGUAAUACGAAGGGGGCUAGCGUUGUUCGGAAUUACUGGGCGUAAAGCGCACGUAGGCGGAUCUAUAAGUCAGGGGUGAAAUCCCGGGGCUCAACCUCGGAACUGCCUUUGAUACUGUAGAUCUCGAGUCCGGAAGAGGUGAGUGGAAUUCCUAGUGUAGAGGUGAAAUUCGUAGAUAUUAGGAAGAACACCAGUGGCGAAGGCGGCUCACUGGUCCGGUACUGACGCUGAGGUGCGAAAGCGUGGGGAGCAAACAGGAUUAGAUACCCACGUAGUCCCUGAGCGGGCUGGCAAGGCGCAU